rnacentral:rRNA from 1 species
GACGAACGCUGGCGGCGUGCUUAACACAUGCAAGUCGAACGGAAAGGCCCUGCUUGCAGGGUACUCGAGUGGCGAACGGGUGAGUAACACGUGGGUGAUCUGCCCUGCACUUCGGGAUAAGCCUGGGAAACUGGGUCUAAUACCGGAUAGGAGCCAUUUUUAGUGUGAUGGUUGGAAAGUUUUUUCGGUGUAGGAUGAGCUCGCGGCCUAUCAGCUUGUUGGUGGGGUAAUGGCCUACCAAGGCGGCGACGGGUAGCCGGCCUGAGAGGGUGGACGGCCACCUUGGGACUGAGCUACGGCCCAGCCUCCUACGGGAGGCAGCAGUGGGGAAUAUUGCACAAUGGGCGCAAGCCUGAUGCAGCGACGCCGCGUGGGGGAUGACGGCCUUCGGGUUGUAAACUCCUUUCGCUAGGGACGAAGCUUUUUGUGACGGUACCUAGAUAAGAAGCACCGGCUAACUACGUG